GGUAUAGUACUUUAAAAAAAAGGUUAGCUUUGCAAGUUAAAAUUAGAGUUUAACUCUUUAUGCCU
rnacentral:tRNA from 1 species